rnacentral:rRNA from 1 species
CCCGUCACACCAUGGGAGUGGAUUGCACCAGAAAUGGCUGUGCUAACCGCAAGGAGGCAGGCCCUCAAGGUGUGGUUCAUGACUGGGGUG